rnacentral:tRNA from 1 species
GCCUGGGUGGCUCAGUGGGUUGAGCAACUGCCUUCGGCUCAGGUCAUGAUUCCAGACUUCCGGGUUCGAGUCCCGCAUCGGGCU